AUUGAACGCUGGCGGCAGGCCUAACACAUGCAAGUCGAACGAGCGGCGGACGGGUGAGUAAUGUCUGGGAAACUGCCCGAUGGAGGGGGAUAACUACUGGAAACGGUGGCUAAUACCGCAUACUAUCGGAUGAACCCAUAUGGGAUUAGCUAGUAGGGGGGGUAAAGGCUCACCUAGGCGACGAUCUCUAGCUGGUCUGAGAGGAGGAUCAGCCACACUGGAACGGAGACACGGCCCAGACUCCUACGGGAGGCAGCAGUGGGGAAUAUUGCACAAUGGGCGCAAGCCUGAUGCAGCCAUGCCGCGUGUAUGAAGAAGGCCUUAGGGUUGUAAAGUACUUUCAGCGGGGAGGCGUUACCCGCAGAAGAAGCACCGGCUAACUCCGUGCCAGCAGCCGCGGUAAUAC
rnacentral:rRNA from 1 species